AUUGAACGCUGGCGGCAGGCCUAACACAUGCAAGUCGAACGGUAACAGGGAUCAGCUUGCUGAUUCGCUGACGAGUGGCGGACGGGUGAGUAAUGUCUGGGAAACUGCCUGAUGGAGGGGGAUAACUACUGGAAACGGUAGCUAAUACCGCAUAACGUCGCAAGACCAAAGAGGGGGACCUUCGGGCCUCUUGCCAUCGGAUGUGCCCAGAUGGGAUUAGCUAGUAGGUGGGGUAACGGCUCACCUAGGCGACGAUCCCUAGCUGGUCUGAGAGGAUGACCAGCCACACUGGAACUGAGACACGGUCCAGACUCCUACGGGAGGCAGCAGUGGGGAAUAUUGCACAAUGGGCGCAAGCCUGAUGCAGCCAUGCCGCGUGUAUGAAGAAGGCCUUCGGGUUGUAAAGUACUUUCAGCGGGGAGGAAGGGAGUAAAGUUAAUACCUUUGCUCAUUGACGUUACCCGCAGAAGAUGCACCGGCUAACUCCGUG
rnacentral:rRNA from 1 species